UCAUUUAUCUGUUAUGCCUUCACAUUCGUGAAUAUUUGCAUGUACUCAAAAAUGUUAUUCUUCUCUUCAGCUACAGACAAAUCCUUCUGGCAGUUCUUAUCUCCACUUCAGGUUGUAUUUGAUCGCAAUGUUGUUAUGCAGAUGCCUAUCCUAACUGCAAAUCUGAGUCCUCUGGUGUUCCCCUACUAUUCUGCACAUCUUUAUUUCCUCUUUGGGAAUUCUGAAAGUGGGAUGCCCUUUAUGAGAAUUCUACAAGUAUAAGUGCACCAUUUGGUCAAUUGCCGUAUUUUCAAUGUGCUAAAAACAAAAAUGAUAUUUCAUAUUUCCAUUGUGCAAACUUUUCAAACCCAUUUUAUAAUAUAUGUUGUAUUUAUUUCAUA